rnacentral:rRNA from 1 species
GAUGAACGCUGGCGGCGUGCCUAAUACAUGCAAGUCGAGCGGAAAGAGGAGGAGGUUGCUCGUCGGACGGUAGAGGGGGAAGGGAGGGUAAGACGUGGGUAAAGAGGUGGGAAAACAGGGAUCAAUUGGGGAAACAGGAGCUCAUACGGGAUGAUAAAGAGAACGGCGUGGUUGAAUAGAGUAAGACGGUUCUGCUGUUUGUUAUAGCUGGUGCCACGCCGGAUUAGCUAGUUGGUAAGGUAACGGCUUACCAAGGCAACGAUGCGUAGCCGAUCUGAGAGGGUGACCGGCCACACUGGGACUGAGACACGGUCCAGACUCCUACGGGAGGCAGCAGUAGGGAAUUUUCCACAAUGGGCGAAAGCCUGACGGAGCAACGCCGCGUGAGUGAUGAAGGUCUUCGGAUCGUAAAACUCUGUUAUUAGGGAAGAACAAAUUUGUAAUUAACUAUGCACGUCUUGACGGUACCUUAUCAGAAAGCCACGGCUAACUACGUG